GUCGGUGUACUACGAACCACUCUAACAUCCACCCUAAUCCUCAAGAAAUAAGAAAUUUCAUAAUAUAAAACAUUCACUGCUAAUUACAACUAUAUAGGUAAAUAUAUUACAAUUAUCACUGAACUCCACAACUGACGUAUAAACAACUCACUUUAAAAUCUUCUUUCUAAAUCUUCUACCGUCAACUCACCUAAAAGUACACAUGAUACAUUUAUACAACCAAACCCUAACACUUCCACUAAAUUUCCGAUGACUUAGAAACGUAAGGAAUAAGAUUAAGUUUUUGCCAAUGACAAAACUCCAGACACAACAGGAAGUUCCCACUGCUAAACUAAUAACCAUAUGAACUGAACAGUCAUCUAUAUCUUCUCACCUGCCAAUACAGUCUGUUUGGGUGGAGCUAAAUGUCAACGCACUCACAUAAAUAACCAAACUCAUAAAAAAUGAAUAUGAUUAACAUCUAACAUAGAUAUCCAGAAAUAAAGUACAAUCAUGCAAUAAAUGUAUCACCACAUGUGUGAGCCAUUUCGAUAACAUUUGUUGGCCAAUGAGUAAUGGCUCAUUAUCAAAAGGAUGCCCACAAGUUCGACACCCUAUUAAAUCAACCCCCACAUCGGUCAAUCUUUAUGUUAUCCCGCACAUUGCGAACCUUUCCAUGUAAUGCACUAGCAUAAAAUAUGCAAAUGCCACUCCUCGUAUAUAUAUCAACAUCAACAUUAACAUAGGGUCAUUUAAUUCAAUAUGAAUAGACCAUCUAUAUUUUUCUCACCUGUUACUAGCACUUACACUUUGUAGACACACAAAUUUGGCCAAUCAAAAAUGAUAAGUGUCUUAUAAAGUCACAAAUUUUGGCAUCAAAUAUUGCCAUGGUCAAGUCUGCAAGAAAUAGCGAAUAAAAUAUCGCCACAUUUCAGAUGAUACGGUCUUUAAAAAAACGACAAGUUUUAAACUACUCAAAGUGCGCUACUUGUCCAAAUUAAAUAAGAGAUAAUUAUUAUUGAUUAUUUCUCUUAAAAUUCAAUAAGAGAUAAUUUCUUUGUAAAAUAUAAGGGUUAUUAUCUCUUAAAUUAAACAGAGAUAUUAUCAUUGAUUAUUAUCUCUUCAAAUUAAAUAAGAGAUAAUUAUUUUUUAAAAUUUAUUAUUAUCUCUCAAAUUAAAUAAGAAUAAUUUUUUUUUAAAAUUGUAUUAUCUCUUCAAAUUACAUAGAGUAAUUAUCAUUAAGUAUUAUCUCUUCAAUGAAAUAAGAAUAAUUAUCAUCAAGAAGUUCAUCUUAUCAGAACUUCACCACCCUCAACUAUACAUAGGGGGUGAUACUUCAAAGAACGGAGACAGAGACCAGAUUUAAGAAGAGCUCUGAAGAUCAAGCAUUAAAACCGGAAAACGUUCCCUUCAAUCAUCUUUUUCGCACAUGUCGGAGAAGACACGUCGUGUGAAUUCGGGAAUCAAGCUUUAAAGAGCCCGCGGUCAACAUUCUAAAAGAGAAGAAUCAGAGAAUUAAUUUCGGUAUUUAGAAUUAUUUCAGAGAUUGUAAUCCCUUAUUCCAAAGAAAGAAAAUUUAAUUUGCACUAAAACGAUUUUCUGUCUUAUUAUUUAACAAGAAAUUUGUGUGUAUAAAUUUCUGGCAUGCCCAUGAGACCCAGCUGCUGACAACUCCUCUAAAAUUAAAGAUGUUACGAGUCUUCCGCCAAACAACAAUAGACUCAAAUAAUCUUACAGUUUUCGGCUGAUGGAUCAAUCCCUAUCGACCAACUAAAGGAAAUCAAUUUUAGGUGCUAUCAAGAUAAGGGAAUUUCAAAUCUUCUCUUACUUAUGCGUAAGCCCUACACUCAAAGGAUUGAUCAACUGAAGAUGCCUGUGGGUUACCACCCCGAAAUUCCUAGCAAUUCGAGGUGCAAAGUAAUCCAAAAUAACAAUUGCCCAUUUUGUGGAAAUGUGCAAUAAUGCUGGAAACUGAUGGAGACUUUUUCAAUCAAUUUUGUUCGUACACUCAAGGGCAAUGCUUUGAUUGGUAAUUGCGAUCUCGAGCCUCGCAUAAGUGAUAGUUAGAAGCAGUUAGAACAAGAGUUUUCUUCUGAAUCGCUUCUAUAGCACUCGUCGUACUGCUAGUAUGAUCGACCCUUACUAGUUCUCCCCAAUGGAAAAUAUGAAUCGUGUCAUUUACAUCAAUUGAUGAAAACUUAAAGCCCUAAAUUGCAAGAAUAGGUUAUUGAGACUUCUUCUGCCAUUGAGAUGUGCUUCAGGCAUGCCCUGGAGUUUGCGUCAUAUUUUUCAAGAUCAGCCUAUAACCUUUGAAAGAACUGGCUAGGCGAGCACAUGAUAAGGAACUCAGCAUGCUGCAAAUGAAGUCAAGGACUACUUUUUCAUUCAAGAUCCCCACAAAGGAGAAAUCUCAUAACCCACAAUCUAAAAGGGAGCAAUAAGUCUUUCUCCCAAGCCGAUACUAAAGCCUCAAUGGCUGUAAUCACUGCACCAGUCAGAUCUAUGCUAAGUCCAAAAGAAAGAAGUAGAGAAAGUUAAUUCUACCCAAAAAAAAAAAUGGAAGAAAAGCUCACCUCCAAGAAAUGCAAGAGCAAAAGUAUCCUUUUCCUACGCUGAAUCCCCGAAUGCUUGCUCAAUUACUGAAUUGAAAGUCAUUUGACUCCCGAGAUAACAACUUGAGGAGGCUGGAAGGUUAAUGAUUUUCCAAAAAAAAAACUAUUACAAGUACCAUCGGUUUGGGUAGCCACCCUACUCAACGUUGUUUGUGUUGAAUAAAAAUUUUGGGAUUAGCUAAGCUAGCUAAGGGAAAUUACGCUGGAAGAAGAAAAAAAGUGGCAAUGCUAACCAACUGCCAUUUGCCUUGGAUCCUUUGAUCCUAUACUCUUCUGCAUGAGACUCAAAAGCUUGAAAGACUCAUUCUUACAGACAAAUCGUCAGAUCAGAACUCAAUUUGGGAAUCGAUUGAAACCAGUUUGACCUUGCAAUCGCUUGCUCUUGCAAAGCUGCAUCCAUAAAUGGGGGCAAUGAUGGUAAUGUAACAAAGUUGGCUACUAAUUACGAAGGUGGACUCUUGUCACUCGGAAGAAGAAAAAGAAAUCCAAACCAAAGUCACAAUCGUUCUCUCAACACAUGCAUCAAACCGUGUUUGCCGUUAACACCCAAGUAAGGAAGCAACAGAGAAAGAGAAAGGCUAGGAAGGUAGCAUUCGCAUUGCCAAAAGAUUAAUAUAUCAAAAGCGACACACUCCUAUUACUUUUGUGGGGUUCUUGCCAAGUCCAAUAUGUCAAUUGAUGCGGUAGCAUGUAAUGAAUAACAUCGAAGAAUCCCUUAAGUAGAGUUGAUGACUUACAUUCUUCACCUAACACAAAUCCCAGUGAGCAUGCACGAUCAGUUUGUUCAAAUAAUUGUGUACGUAUAUCAAAAAUCACUUCUCAGAUGGAAGAUUGUUACUUGGUUCAGCGCUACACAAUCGUCACUCUUCAUACUGGAUAUACGGAGAGCCAAAUAUCAAUUAGGAUGCUCUUAGAUGGUGGAUAGCUAUCAACAUUUUGCUCUCCUGUAUGAAAGAACUUGGCGUCAUGAUGGAGGAGCUUCCCUAGUUGCUUGAUGAUACAAGGGUUAAUCAAGGGGACAAAGACCUAUGGAGUUCUUCGUCUUGCACAUACUUAUCGAUGACAGACAUCAGUGCAUUAUGUACAUUAUUGGAUGUAAGACUAAUACAACAUGCUGCUAGGAGACUUGGCUCCAUGAGAAUGGUGUUGUACCAUCUACCCUCCAACCAAUGUUUCAGUAAUUGUCGCAACGGUGUCAUAAAAAGAAUUGUUGUGACGACAACCCUUUACUGAGUAGAAUCAUAUUUUGCUGAUUAUAGGUUUACAUGGGCGAAUAUUCAGAAUGAAAGAAUUACAACCUAUCGUCUCUCAUCGAUCUAUGAAGUUUCAAAAGGUGAUGAAGUCUCAUCUUGAAACUUUACCUUCUAUCAACAAAAAUAAGAAAAAAUCAUAACGAGGAUAAGAAGCAUAAGACAAAACUACAAAAGGCGCCUCUAGUUCUUCGAUAUAUGCCAGUUAAGAAAUAGUGAGGAUCAAGUUUUGAAAUAUUUGACUUUUCUAUCACCAACUUUAACUAGACAAACUUAACGGCCAUUGAACGGGGAUUCAUACGACAGUAAGAGUCCUGAAGUGGGCAUGGCAAUUGCCUUCACAAAGAAUUAAAAUAAGGUUUGGAUCAAUUGCCUCCAAACUCUUGCAAAGGCUGGAUAUAGUCCUAAGAGUCAAACUACUUUAGAAAAGCUAUCUCUGAAGUCAUUGAGGAAAUAGGCAUGGUUUGAAAUUAACUCAAAACAUAAAUCAAGCAAAAGGGCUAUGCUGUUCACAUCUCAUAUUGGCUUGGGUACACUCCACAUGGCUCAUAUGCAUAUUGUGAUAAAGAAGUCAAGCAAUCACCAUAGAAAGAUGAUAAAUGCUUCACCAGGCUUCAACCAAACCAUCUGUUUGAUCGUCUAGGUAAGCCAAAAUAAGAAUCUAGGUCUUUGAUCGGAUUAGCGGCCAUCAAGAAGUCUUUACUUCACCCAUCCAGAAGUCUGUGCAUGAGAGGCUGGCUGUUUCAAAAUCUCUGAAACCCAAAGAAGCUAGAAAAGAAAAAAAAAUUGUAAUUUCUUUCUUGGGAGGAUGAUAAAAAGUUGAGAAGUAAUACCAUUCCGUAUAAAACGCCGACUACUAUGUAGUGGACUACUGAUGAAGUAUUGACAAUAAGACUAAAAUAGUGGUAGUUACAAAACUCUCCACGAAGCAUCAGAUGUCCCGGCUCUGAAGAAGUGCCUGUGUUUUCAUACCAUAUUACUGCUCUUGAUGGAGAAGACCCUCUUGAAGAAGAUGCAGAGGAUGCUCCGCUAUAUUUGAAGAAGGUGUUAAAUUCAACCACUGUUGAGAAUUGAAUGGAAUCAACCUUGUACAUGGAUGAACCCACGACCGUUACGUAAUGCUCUUCCUCUCACUUUUUCCGAGGAGGAAGAAUUGUAACAUUGAGCUGCUUGUCUUAAUACAAGGAAUGUUUUUGCUUGGAGCUAAAACAAAAAAAAAAAUGAAAGAAUCCUGGACUAUAGAUCCUAAGUGGCCUGUCCAUCACUUUAUAGUAAAUGUGGCGUUCAAUUCGACCGAUCAACCAAGCACAGACGACGCUUUUGACCGGAAAUUAAUAUUCCUAAGAUGAAACAGAGUUCAACGAGCUGAUUGAAGGCUGGCUUAUAUUGAGAAGGCAAGUAAGCCAACAUGGAUUUUAAAGUAUUUGUCCCCCCUGUUAAAAAAAAAAUGAAGAAUUCUAAUUUGGUGUUUGAUUUUUCGAUAUUUAAACAACUCUUCUUGUCCAAAAGAAACUUUCCAUUGCUUAUAACUAGUCUCAUAUAUAUGCUACUCUACUACUAUGACGAUGCAUUAUCUUUUAUGGAUGGGUUCAUCUAGAUACAUCAAAUUUGGAUGGCUCUACGAGACGAGGAGUUGACAGCCGUUCGUAUGCCAAAAGAAUCUAUUGUUCAAAGUCAAUGCUUCCGAGUAAACGCUGGGGAUACAUAUCAAAGAGCAAUGCAAAAGAUCUCGACGACAUGCUUCACAAAAACGUCGAUCUCGAUGUUAUGUUAAUGAUCUCUUGUCGUAAAAAUGAUAGACUGAGGUGAUCAUCUUGAAGAUUGAGAAGGUAUUGAUCGAUUGCGAUGAUACCAACUUAAGAUGAAUCAUGAAGUGUGCCUUUGGGUUUACAUCCAGAAAAUUCUUGGAAUUCAUUGUACGACGUCAUGUAGAGAUUGAAUAGUAAGAUUUGAAGACUUUUUGAAGAUCCGGAACUCGAAAUAUCCACAAAACUCAAAGUUUGCCAAGGGCGGUGUUGACUUAUCUAGUGGACGCAUAUCAAAAUUUGGUUGGUUGUUGUCAAUCAUUCAAUGCAUCAUGAAAAAAAAGAAUUCCCUUUGAAGGGAUGAAGCUGCAAUAAUGCCUUCCAGUGUAUCAAGGCUAUUUAAAAAAUUCCAGUGUUGGUUGCUCCUAUUUCUGGACGACCAUUAAUUGUUGUACAUUGCUACUCAAGAAUGUUCAGUAGGGGCUCUUCUUGCUCAAGAGAAUGAUUUGAAGAAAAAAAAUACUCUUUAUUACUUGAGUCGAAUGAUGACGCCUUUACAAGCUGAAUUAUUCACAAUUGAGAAAUGUGCUUUAGCUCUGUUCUUUGCCUGUUAAAAGUUAAGCCAUUACUUUCAAGCACACACCGUUCAUCUCAUAUCUAAAGUUAACCCUGUAAGUAAUCAUGACAAAAAAACCAGUUUUGUCUGAUGAAUAGCAAGAUGGUCUCUUCUUCUUCUAAAGUUUGAAUCAUCCACGUGCUCAAAAGGCUAUCAAGGACAAGCCUUGGCUUGAUUUUUUGUUGGCUGAUCACCCAUACCCGCUGAUUGGGAAUAUCGAAAAUUUUACAAAUGAAGACGUCCUUCAUUGAAGUACGACCGCCAUGGAAGGAAAGAGUCUUUGAUGGGCUUUCAUAGUGAGGGUGCUGGGGCUGGUAUAGGUUGCUCACUUGGAAGAAAAUGUGACCUACCUUAUGGCCUUCACUGUAAACACAUUAGCUCAAAAUAAUAAAGCUGAAUACAAACUCUCAUAUCGGGAUGGAAAUGGCCAUUUGAUAAAGCAGUUGUGGCUUGCGUAUAUGGAGACUCCCAACUGAUAAUAAUCACUAUUAAUAUUUAUGAUGAAAAGCAUGACUGCUACCCUAUAUAAUUAUGCCACUCGAAUGAUUGGAUGGCUUGGUGGUGUCUCUUUAGAGCAUGUGUCGAGAAGAAAGAAUAUACAGGCAUGAUUUACUAGCAAACUGCAUCUUCUCUUACCUAUCCACGUAAGAGGCUCAGAUUCCAAUAUGUCAGAUGGGUAAUUCCUCUACACUUUGAUGGUGAAUAUAUGACGAAAGGAUUUCUAAGCCAUUUCGGUAUUUGAAAUUAGAAAGAUUGGCGAAAUCACUCAUAAAUAUCUACAACAUAGAAAGUUGCCCAAGAAUCUUGCAUAGAAAACUGACAUAAGCGCGCACUCCAGCUUUCAUUUAUUACAAUGAUACAUUUUAUCACGUUCCUUGAGGGGCUGCUCCUUCGUUGCCUGAAUAAAAAGAAGCAAUACAAGCCCUUAGAGAAGCUCACUCUAUAUUUGUGGUGCUCCGCAAUCAAGCCCUAACUUCAUUUUCGAAUUAAAAGAAUGGUUAAUUAUGCACCAUGGUAAAGGACUAUCUAGAGUUUCCCAGAGGUGUCAAGCCUGUACAAGUUCCAGCCAAUUUUCAUACCUCAAUCGCCAGAGCCGCGCCAUUCCCAACUGUUGCCUUUGGCCAUUUAUGUAUGGGGGCUCGAUGUAGCAGGACCUUUGUCUAAUCUUCUGCGGGUCCAUCUUUAUAUUCUAGUUGCAAUUGAUAUUUCUCCCAAAGGUGCUGAAGCUGUGCCCCUAAGGGAAGUAAGAAAUAAAUCCGUUGUGGAGUUCAUUCGUACAAUAUCAUCUUAGAUACGGUGUACCGCACUACAUCAUCCAUAGACAAUAAAAAGUCAUUUUAUUAUAGUAAUUAUGAAUAAACUUUGUGAGAGUUUUAGUUUUAAGCACAUAAGUCGUUCAUGUACAAUGCACCAGCAAAUGGUCUCGCCGAAGCCUUCAACAAAAUCCUGAGAUCUUCUAAAGAAGGUGGUAGCCAUCAAAAAAUAUUGUACGAGAGAAUCGGAGAAUCUCUUGGCAAUAUCGAACAACUCAUCGAACAUCACCUAACUACUCCUUAUUCCACUAGUUUAUAGAGUGGAAGCUGUUUUGCCUAUUGAGUAACCAAAUUCCAUCAUUAAAGUGUCAUUCAAGAAGGUUUCACCAAGAAGACAAUACUCCGUCUACGUCUUGAAAAAUUGAAAGCACUUGAUAAAAAUAGACCCUUGAAGCGCAACAACAAUAGGAAUGCUAUCAAGCCUCGCCUUUCUAGAGCUUCAAAUAAAAGGUUUGCCCCGUUCAUUCAAAAAAGAGACUUGGUGCUUUCGUGAAAUACCUAAUCAUCACCACCAUCGAAUGGGAAAUAAAUUUACUUGUCAAGUGGGAUGACCCAUAUGUGAUAUCAAGAAGUUCAUUCCAUGGUUGCUUACAAACUUGUUGGCUGGAGAUGGCUUAGAAUUGACCUCAUCAAUGGAAAAUUUUUGAAGCGAGACUAUCCCAAUAGCGAACUUUUUCUUUGGGCUUAAGACGAUAGCUUUCGCAUUAAAACUUUUCUUCUCGCUCAAGUAGUGAGACUUUGCCCUCUUCUUCUUCGAUGUGUAGAUCCUCCAGCCUUUUCUUUAUGUGGCCUUCUUCACAUCGAUGUUGGCACUGUCUUUCGAAGGGCUUGUAUAUCUUUAACCAUUUCACCUUCUUCAAUUUCCGGCAUCAAGAACAAAAUGCUUAGCCUUCUCCACAACUCUACUUUCAUCUCUCUCGACAUUUUCUCCAUGAAAGAAGAGCGAGAGAAUUAUAUAUCCGAUGUUCUGAAAGAUGUUGCAAGUAAUUUCUUCAAAGGCGAAACAUUACUAUGUUAUUCUCUCAAUCUCUUUCAUCACUUUGUCAAUUUCUUCUUCAAAGAAUUAAGAAGAUCAAGACGGUGUCUAGCAAUCUUUGAGAAGUCCUUUCCAUAGGACGAAGAUAGUUGCGUUGGCAUUCAAAAAUAUAUUAUCUCCUUGAAAUGUGGAUCUUCGUGUCUUCGCGUAAGUAAGCAAGGAGUUUGGACCGUCGACCGAACCUACACUUCCUUUAGAAGUUGACACAGUCUCCAAUUGCAUCUCAAAAUUCUCCAAUGCAGCCCUCUACGAGGUCCUUCCAGCAUAACCGAAGCGCAGAAGGUACACCAUCGAAAAAUUUGGCACCUGAUUAUCUUAAGAGAUGGGUUUCCUUCUUGGCACGCGCUUCUAGUUGCAAUCUUCCUUGCUUGUGCUGGCUUUCUUUCUCCUCUUGAGAAAUAGCCGCUGUUGACUGCCUUAUGAAACAUCGCAGGUUGCCCAAAGGGUUUGGAGGCUAUACAUGGAAGGUGGCAAAUAGAGUCUUUUAUGUUCUUGACAUCUGUUGCUUUGGCCUGAAGUUCCCUUCAUAACUUUUACAUCAUUCGCUUCUUGGUUGGAGGUUGAUUCCUUGACGUGUUUCAUCUUCUCACCUUUGCCGUUCUUAGCUUUUGCUGGUCAAAUUGUGUACUUUGGGCAAGAAGAUUCUUUCGCCUUUAAUAGAUAAUUAUUAUGUACUUUCCCUCCCACCUUUUCUGAAAGAAGUAGUAGUAUGUCCUUCUGAAACUGAUUGGUGAGGAUGGAUAAUGCUUUGAAAUUAGUCCUUGUACUGAAUACUAAUCUGCAAUGUCUAGUGCCCUCUCUAACUUGGUGGAGCAUUCAUUCUUUCAAGAUCAUCGGAAUCUCUUGACAAUCUCUCAAAUUGGCGACCAAAACGAUGGGGGUUGUACGGCUCUACGAAGAACGAUUCACCACUACGAGGACUAGCGACUGGAACGGAUGCUAUCCAAAUACGCAAAGCUUGAGGAUUCUCCGUGACUUUUGUGUCAAUAAUAGCCUCUUAAUAUUGUUUAAAACGUGAAGUAGAAUUCCAAGAUCUACUAUCCCCCUUGGAAAGAGGUUCGAGCAGCAGUCCUUCAAAUCUUGGCAGCACCCUCUCCAGAAUAUCAGUCAUCUUGGGGCUAGCUAGUGGGAUUGGAUGAGGUAAUGUAGUACCAAGUAGUAUGCAGCCAUGCAUAAGUUAAUGAGUCAGGAAAAUAAGACUCUGAAACGUCCAGGAGUUGAUGAGUUUGUAAUCUUGUUUCAAGCCCUUGUAGAUACUUGUUAAGACAGGAAUAAUCAGACAAUAUUCUGCCAGAUGCCAUUAUACUUGCAAUUUUGGAUGGUGGUUGGCCUAAUAGUGUUGAGUUUUUCACUGGAAGGACACAGGUGCAUAACUACAAGACACAAUACGAAGAUAAGUUUGGCUCCCCAUGUCAUCAUUGAUACCAAGGUGAGAAAACGGCUUUGGUU
rnacentral:lncRNA from 1 species